GUUGGUGAACCAGCGGAGGGAUCAUUACGAGAGUGUAACAACUCCCAACCCACUGUUUACCUACCCGUCCAACGUGCUUCGGCAGGCAGCCCUGUGGGACAGAGCCUCGCCCCCUUCGCGGGGGGUGCCUGCCGCCGGCCAAUCAAAACUCUAGCUGUUUUAGUACCAUCUGAGUCUUAUACAAAAUAAACAAAACUUUCAACAACGGAUCUCUUGGUUCUG
rnacentral:misc_RNA from 1 species